GGGGGCGACUUGGCUUCGACGGGAGUCGCAAAACCUGAGGUGCAUGCCGAGGGGCAGAGGACCUCGUAAAUCCAACUGCGACAAAAUAGACGCAAACGACGACGUUUACGCCCUGGCCGCUUAAGGCCAGCCUUCGGUCCGCAGCCAGCUCAUAGGCGGCGGGUUCCGGGGGUAACACAAAUAUGAGAUAGCGAGAGGGUCUGUCCGAGGCCUGAUCGCGAAACACUUAGGACUCGCCGUCCGCUCUCCCUGCCACUCGGGUGGCGUACGGUUAAAUUAAUAGAGCUGGAUAAGCAUGUAGAGCCGAGGGCGGAGGGCUUUCGGACGCGGGUUCAAUUCCCGCCGCCUCCACCA
rnacentral:tmRNA from 1 species